rnacentral:rRNA from 1 species
GAUGAACGCUGGCGGCGUGCUUAAUACAUGCAAGUCGAGCGAACGGACGAGAAGCUUGCUUUUCUGAUGUUAGCGGCGGACGGGUGAGUAACACGUGGAUAACCUACCUAUAAGACUGGGAUAACUUCGGGAAACCGGAGCUAAUACCGGAUAAUAUUUUGAACCGCAUGGUUCAUAAGUUAAAGACGGUCUUGCUGUCACUUAUAGAUGGAUCCGGGUUGCAUUAGCUAGUUGGUAAGGUAACGGCUUACCAAGGCAACGAUGCAUAGCCGACCUGAGAGGGGGAACGGCCACACUGGAGCUGAGACACGAUCCAGACUCCUACGGGAGGCAGCAGUAGGGAAGCUUCGGCAAUGGGCGGAAGCCUGACGGAGCAGCGGAGCGUGAGUGAUGAAGGUCUUCGGAUCGUAAGACUCUGUUCUUAGGGAAGAACAUAUGUGUAAGUAGCUGUGCACAUCGUGACGGUACCUGAUCAGAAAGCAACGGCUAACUACGUG